rnacentral:rRNA from 1 species
GCGGUUAUUCUUGUUGUUCAACUCAAAAGUUUUAAAUAAAAGAUACUAAGUUAUUUUGUCCAAUAACAAAAUUUAAGGUUUAAUUUUAGAUAUUAUUGUUUAAAUUGGAUUAGUACCCAAGUAAUAAAAUUAAUUAAUUAAGGUAACACCUAAACUAAAUGGCCGUAUUAUCUUUUACGCAGAGAAACUUGAAAUUUAGAAAAUCCACUUUAUUGUUAAUCUUAUAAAAGUUUAAGUAUGGCUGUCUAAAAAUAAAUUUCUAUUUAGAUUUAUAGUCAAGCAACAUUUAACUUAUAAGAAGAUUUUGAGUUGCAAUAAAUAAAUUAUUAGAGGUAUAUAAAAAUCCGGAUUUGCAAGUAAAAUAAUUUUGAAAUAAGUUUAAGUACA